rnacentral:rRNA from 1 species
AACGAACGCUGGCGGCAGGCCUGAGGCAUGCGAGUCGAACGAGAAAGUGUAGCAAUACAUGAGUAGAGUGGCGCACGGGUGAGUAACACGUGGGAACAUACCUUAAAGUGGGGGAUAACAGUUGGAAACGACUGCUAAUACCGCAUAAACCCUUCGGGGGAAAGAUUUAUCGCUUUAAGAUUGGCCCGCGUUGGAUUAGCUUGUUGGUGAGGUAAUGGCUCACCAAGGCAGUGAUCCAUAGCUGGUCUGCGAGGAUGAUCAGCCACACUGGGGCUGAGACACGGCCCAGACUCCUACGGGAGGCAGCAGCUAGGAAUAUUGGACAAUGGGCGAAGGCCUGAUCCAGCCAUGCCGCGUGAGUGAAGAAGGCCUUCGGGUUGUAAAGCUCUUUUAGUUAUGAAGAUGAUGACUGUAGUAACAGAAAAAGCACCGGCUAACUUCGUGCCAGCCGCCGCCGUAA